rnacentral:rRNA from 1 species
UAAAUUUAGAGUUUGAUCCUAGCUCAGGAUGAACGCUGGCGACGUGGAUAAGGCAUGCAAGUCGAACGAGGCUUAGAGCCGAGUGGCAGACGAGGUAGUAAUACGUAGGAAUGUACCCUGAAGUCAGGAACAACUAUGGGAAACCAUAGCUAAUACUUGAUAGUCCUUUCGAGGUAAAGCUUUAGCGCUUUAGGAACAGCCUGCGGGGUAUCAGCUUGUUGGUAGUGUAAAAGACUACCAAGGCUAUGACGCCUAGGGGAGGUGAGAGCCUGACCCCCACCGAUGGUACUGAGACACGGACCAUACACCUACGGGUGGCCGCAGUCGAGAAUCUUCCGCAAUGGACGAAAGUCUGACGGAGCGACGUCGCGUGAUGGAUGAAGUCUCUAGGGAUGUAAACAUCUUUUAUAGGGGAGGAAAAAUUUGACGUUACCCUAUGAAUAAGGGGUUGCUAAACUCGUGCCAGCAGCAGCGGUUAUACGAGUGCCCCAAGCGUUAUCCGGAAUUAUUGGGCGUAAAGGGUCCGCAGGCGGAUCUGUUAGUCGAUUGUUAAAGCUCCCGGCUCAACUGGGAAAAUGCAAUCGAAACGGCAGAUCUAGAGGGUGUGAGAGGUGUACGGAACUCAUGGUGUAGGGGUGAAAUCCGUUGAUAUCAUGGGGAACACCGAAAGCGAAGGCAGUACACUGGCACAUUUCUGACGCUCAGGGACGAAAGCGUGGGUCGCGAAGGGGAUUAGAUACCCCCGUAGUCCACGCCCUAAACGAUCCAGACUAGAUUUGGGGAGUAUCGACCCUCUCCGAGUCGUAGCUAACGCGUUAAGUCUGGCGCCUGGGUAGUACGAUCGCAAGAUUAAAACUCAAAGGAAUAGACGGGGACUUGCACAAGCGGUGGAUCAUGUGGCUUAAUUCGUAACUAAACGAAGAACCUUACCAGGACUAGAAAUCUAAUUGAAUACUUAGGGAAACUUAGGUAGCCUUCGGGCAAUUAGACAGGUGAUGCAUGGCCGUCGUCAGUUCGUGGCUUGAGCUGUUCCCUUAAGUGGGGUAACGAACGCAACCCUCGUCGUAUGUUAUAAGUGUCAUACGAGACCGCCCCCGUUUCAGAGCAUAAAUAUUUUUAAAAAUAUUUAUUUGUGAAUUGAAACGGGGGAGGAAGGUGAGGAUGACGCCAGGUCCGCAUGUCCCUUGAUGUCCUGGGCUGCACACAUGAUACAAUGCCUACUACAGAGAGACGCAAUACCGCGAGGUGGAGCAAACCUUCAAAAGUAGGCCCAAUUCGGAUUGUAGGCUGCAACUCGCCUGCAUGAAGCCGGAAUCGCUAGUAAUCACAGGUCAGCCAUACUGUGGUGAAUACGUUCUCAAGUCUUGUACUCACCGCCCGUCAACUCAAGGGAGUUGGGAGCACUCGAAAUCUUAGUUUAUCUGGGACUACAGUGAACUCAAUAACAGGGAGUAAGUCGUAACAAGGCACGGGUAGCGGAAGCUGUUCGUGGAUUAAUUCAAGU